AUUGAACGCUGGCGGCAUGCCUUACACAUGCAAGUCGAACGGUAACGCGGGGCAACCUGGCGACGAGUAGCGAACGGGUGAGUAAUGCAUCGGAACGUGCCCAGUAGUGGGGGAUAACUGCUCGAAAGAGCAGCUAAUACCGCAUACGACCUGAGGGUGAAAGCGGGGGAUCGCAAGACCUCGCGCUAUUGGAGCGGACGAUGUCAGAUUAGGUAGUUGGUGGGGUAAAGGCCCACCAAGCCAACGAUCUGUAGCUGGUCUGAGAGGACGACCAGCCACACUGGGACUGAGACACGGCCCAGACUCCUACGGGAGGCAGCAGUGGGGAAUUUUGGACAAUGGACGCAAGUCUGAUCCAGCCAUGCCGCGUGCGGGAGGAAGGCCUUCGGGUUGUAAACCGCUUUUGUCAGGGAAGAAACGCUCUGGGUUAAUACCUCGGGGUAAUGACGGUACCUGAAGAAUAAGCACCGGCUAACUACGUGCCAGCCGCCGCCGUAAUAC
rnacentral:rRNA from 1 species